rnacentral:lncRNA from 1 species
AGAAGUUGAGAAGAUCAUGGUAAGUUGUUAGGAUAAUUUUGUUUGAAUCUUUUAAGAUUUAUUUCCUUUUAUUAUAUUAUUACUUAUUAUUAUUAUUACUUAUUAUUAUUGUCAUUAUUAUUUUUUUGGUAAUUAAGGAUUUCAUUAAUCACCAAUGAGAACAUUACAAAACCAUAGUCUAGCUUUAACUCAGCUGACUAUCUCUAAUAUAAUAAUUUAGAGCUGUAUCUAAUGUCCUAAACUACCUAACAAAACUAUAUUUGAAGAUGUUGUAAGUGGUUUCUAAUUCGUGGGGUACCUCUAACAUUACAAGUGUAUACUAUGUCUCUCAAAAGGGCUUCAUUGCAUGAAGAUGUUGUAAGUGGUUUCUAAUUCGUGGGGUACCUCUAACAUUACAAGUGAAUACUAUAUUUCUCAAAAGGGCUUCAUUACAACGAAAUGUCUUGUUGAAUAUUCUUGAGUUCCUUUCCAGCCAGAUAGUAUAUUCAAACUCAGCGACUGCCAUUUUGAAGAUGGCUGCUCGACAUGUUCGACCCUUGGUUUUGCUUACAAGCCACUGCAUUUUCUGGUCCCAGGCGGUGAUGCGAGGAUAAGUCUCCUUCAGCCAGUGCAUCGUUUUCUCCCAUAAUUCAACAGUGACUGGGCAGAAUAGUAGCAAAUGGUCUCUGGUCUCUGGAUGGUUUUGGCAUAAGUUACAUUGCUGAUCAACAGUCAUUCCCCAGCUGUGCAAUCU